UUCUGAAACAUUUCUUUUAAAUUCCAAUACAGCUAACAUACAGACUGUUACCAGUCCAGGAUGAGGUGAAUUCUGAAACAUUUCUUUUAAAUUCCAAUACAGCUAACAUACAGACUGUUACCAGUCCAGGAUGAGGUUGAAUUCUGAAACAUUUCUUUUAAAUUCCAAUACAGCUAACAUACAGACUGUUACCAGUCCAGGAAGAGGUUGAAUUCUGAAACAUUUCUUUUAAAAUUCCAAUACAGCUAACAUACAGACUGUUACCAGUCCAGGAUGAGGUGAAUUCUGAAACAUUUCUUUUAAAUUCCAAUACAGCUAACAUACAGACUGUUACCAGUCCAGGAUGAGGUUGAAUUCUGAAACAUUUCUUUUAAAUUCCAAUACAUCUAACAUACAGACUGUUACCAGUCCAGGAUGAGGUUGAAUUCUGAAACAUUUCUUUUAAAUUCCAAUAUGCUAACAUACAGACUGUUACCAGUCCAGGAUGAGGUGAAUUCUGAAACAUUUCUUUUAAAUUCCAAUACAGCUAACAUACAGACUGUUACCAGUCCAGGAUGAGGUGAAUUCUGAAACAUUUCUUUUAAAU